rnacentral:rRNA from 1 species
AGGUAAGCUACUAAGAGCGAAUGGUGGAUGCCUUGACUGGUAAAGGCGAUGAAGGACGUACUAGACUGCGAUAAGCUACGGGGAGCUGUCAAGAAGCUUUGAUCCGUAGAUUUCCGAAUGGGGCAACCCAAUGUAUAGAGAUAUACAUUACCUAUAUAGGAGCGAACGAGGGGAAUUGAAACAUCUUAGUACCCUCAGGAAAAGAAAUCAAUAGAGAUUGCGUCAGUAGCGGCGAGCGAAAGCGCAAGAGGGCAAACCCAGUGCUUGCACUGGGGGUUGUAGGACUGCAAUGUGCAAGAGGUAAGUUUAGCAGAACAUUCUGGAAAGUAUAACCAUAGAGGGUGAUAGUCCCGUAUGCGAAAAACAAACCUUAGCUAGCAGUAUCCUGAGUAGGGCGGGACACGAGGAAUCCUGUCUGAAUCCGGGUCGACCACGAUCCAACCCUAAAUACUAAUACCAGAUCGAUAGUGCACAAGUACCGUGAGGGAAAGGUGAAAAGAACUGAGGUGAUCAGAGUGAAAUAGAACCUGAAACCAUUUGCUUACA